rfam:Xylona heveae TC161 unplaced genomic scaffold L228scaffold_9, whole genome shotgun sequence.
GGAUAGAUGGCCGAGCGGUUAAGGCGUGUGACUCAAGAUCUAGGAUCUUGCUCACCUAACGUGAGCACAAAAGCCUAUCAGGUUUCUCAUGGGGCAACCCGCGUGAGUUCGAAUCUCACUCUAUCCA